GAUAUUUUAAUUUAAAUUUAUUAUUUAAAAUAUUUGAAAUGUAUGUAUGAAUUUUUUUUAGAUUGUUUUAUUUUAUUAUUUGUAAUGUAAUUUUAUUUUGGAAAAAAUAAAUAUUUCUAUUAAAAAAAUUGAUUUCAUUAAAUGAAUGGUGGCGGGGCGGGGAUACCCAAACCCAACUCGAACCCGUUUGGGACGGGUUUGGGUUUUGAUUC
rnacentral:lncRNA from 1 species